rnacentral:rRNA from 1 species
UGGGUCUGCGUCUCAUUAGCUUGUUGGCGGGGUAACGGCCCACCAAGGCAUCGAUGGGUAGCCGAUUUGAGAGGAUGAUCGGCCACACUGGAACUGAAACACGGUCCAGACUCCUACGGGAGGCAGCAGUGGGGAAUAUUGCGCAAUGGGCGAAAGCCUGACGCAGCGACGCCGCGUGAGGGAUGAAGGUUUUCGGAUCGUAAACCUCUGUCAGAAGGGAAGAAACUACGUUGUGCUAAUCAGCAGCGUACUGACGGUACCUUCAAAGGAAGCACCGGCUGACUCCGUGCCAGCAGCCGCGGAU